ACUCCUACGGGAGGCAGCAGUAGGGAAUCUUCCACAAUGGACGAAAGUCUGAUGGAGCAACGCCGCGUGAACGAUGAAGGCUUUCGGGUCGUAAAGUUCUGUUGUAAGGGAAGAACAAGUGCCGCAGGCAAUGGCGGCACCUUGACGGUACCUUGCGAGAAAGCCACGGCUAACUACGUGCCAGCAGCCGCGGUAAUACGUAGGUGGCAAGCGUUGUCCGGAAUUAUUGGGCGUAAAGCGCGCGCAGGCGGCCUCUUAAGUCUGAUGUGAAAGCCCCGGCUCAACCGGGGGAGGGCCAUUGGAAACUGGGAGGCUUGAGUAUAGGAGAGAAGAGUGGAAUUCCACGUGUAGCGGUGAAAUGCGUAGAGAUGUGGAGGAACACCAGUGGCGAAGGCGACUCUUUGGCCUAUAACUGACGCUGAGGCGCGAAAGCGUGGGGAGCAAACAGGAUUAGAUACCCUGGUAGGAAAGAG
rnacentral:rRNA from 1 species